AUGAAUCAUGCUGAGCCCAGCCCACCAUCCCCUUGCUCCCAAUUUUCACCCACCCACAGGCAAUGAUAGACCUGAUGAACACAACUUACACACCGUAAAAACCUAGGAGCUGAUUUUAUUUUGCGUUGGCUGAGCUUGAGAAAGGAAACGAAGCCAGUCAGGAGAAUGCAGGAUGUGGGGACAUUUUCAUGCUGAUAAAGAACUCGUCCCAGCAUCAUCCUCAGUGGACACUCAAGGGAAGUAUGCUGAAUGGACAUCUGAGCUAGAUCUGCUGAGAGUUGUGUGACUGAGAUGUCCUUAAGGCCUUGAAAAGAAUGGAGAUGGUCUGAAAGAGCUGCUAUAAGGAAUGGGAAGGGGCUGUUUAGGGAUGCAGUAAAGUAUCAGGAUCUAACAGAAGUGGAAUGAUGUGAGUUUUAGUGGCUGCCAUCACUACUUUUCUUUGAGGUCUGUUCAGCUGUGCAUGUGUGAAGUAUGGAGCAAGCAGAAAAGUGUACUUAGGCAGAGCUGGGGUUGUGGCAGGUGUGGGGAUGAAGUCAGAGCAUGACAAAAGAGAGCUGUGUGGAAGGGAGUGAUAUCUCUGAUUCUUGGAGAUGUUAAGCAAGAUAAGAAAAACCUGAAGAUCCUGAAAUACAGUGAAAGGAAGAGUGAAGCUCCUCGAGAAGGGGAAACGUGGCUCAGUUACCUAUCAUCCUGUAUCCAGCCCCAUGCAUGCAAGACACAGGGGCAGCAUGGUGUAGUAAAAGAGGUUGAACUCUACCACUUAUUAACUGGGCAAUCUCUCUGAGGCUCCCUCAUACUUCAAGGUGUACAAUAUAAUGAGUCAGCAAUUCUAUACAUUUCUCGGUGCUUAUCAUGAGUCUCUGACUACACACAGGAGAAGCAGAGGGUGCAGCAUCCUCAUUGGCCUUGGAGAUAAAAGGACUUGAGGAAGACGCGGGGAGGACAUCAUCACCGGAGGUCGGGGGGCCACGAGACAGGACAGAGGUGUAGAACAGUUGGGAGUCAGGCAUCUAGAACGGGAGAACUUCCAAGUUGUCAUGAUGUGUGAGGGAUUUAGAGAGAAAAGAAAAUCGAAAAGGAGAUACUUAAAAUCCUGGGGCUCUAGGUUACAAAUCAAAACCUUUUCAUCUUCUUUGAAGGAAGAAAGAUUGGAAGUCCCAUUUAGUUACUUUGGGAGGGUUUUUUCCAUCUGUAAAUUGGAGAUAAUAUCUGCAAUAACGUGAUAUGAGGAUCAACUUAGUUUUCUCUACCCUUUUCUACCACUCUCCUUCGCCAAGACCCUGUCCCAUAACCGUUGCCUCAAAAGUGUCCACGACUGGCUGUUGUCCCUGUAUUUAUAGCACUAGAAAGCAGUGAUUUCUUUGUGACUGUGA